AUUUGCGUCGAAGGUAUACCGGUAAGGAGUGCUGGAGCGAAUAGAAGUGAGCAUGCAGGCAUGAGUAGCGAUAAUUAAUGUGAGAAUCAUUAACGCCGUAAACCCAAGGUUUCCUACGCGAUGCUCGUCAUCGUAGGGUUAGUCGGGUCCUAAGUCGAGUCCGAAAGGGGUAGACGAUGGCAAAUUGGUUAAUAUUCCAAUACCAACAUUAGUGUGCGAUGGAAGGACGCUUAGGGCUAAGGGGGCUAGCGGAUGGAAGUGCUAGUCUAAGGUCGUAGGAGGUUAUACAGGCAAAUCCGUAUAACAAUACUCCGAGAACUGAAAGGCUUUUUGAAGUCUUCGGAUGGAUAGAAGAACCCCUGAUGCCAUCGAGCCAAGAAAAGUUUCUAAGUUUAGCUAAUGUUGCCCGUACCGUAAACCGACACAGGUGGGUGGGAUGAGUAUUCUAAGGCGCGUGGAAGAACUCUCUUUAAGGAACUCUGCAAAAUAGCACCGUAUCUUCGGUAUAAGGUGUGGUUAGCUUUGUAUUAGGAUUUACUCCGAAAGCGAAGAAACUUACAACAAAGAGUCCCUCCCGACUGUUUACCAAAAACACAGCACUCUGCUAACUCGUAAGAGGAUGUAUAGGGUGUGACGCCUGCCCGGUGCUCGAAGGUUAAUUGAUGGGGUUAGCAUUAGCGAAGCUCUUGAUCGAAGCCCGAGUAAACGGCGGCCGUAACUAUAACGGUCCUAAGGUAGCGAAAUUCCUUGUCGGUUAAAUACCGACCUGCAUGAAUGGCGUAACGAGAUGGGAGCUGUCUCAAAGAGGGAUCCAGUGAAAUUGUAGUGGAGGUGAAAAUUCCUCCUACCCGCGGCAAGACGGAGAGACCCCGUGGACCUUUACUACAGCUUGACACUGCUAUUUGGAUAAGAAUGUGCAGGAUAGGUGGGAGGCUUUGAGUAUAUGACGCCAGUUGUAUAUGAGCCAUUGUUGAGAUACCACUCUUUCUUAUUUGGGUAGCUAACCAGCUUGAGUUAUCCUCAAGUGGGACAAUGUCUGGUGGGUAGUUUGACUGGGGCGGUCGCCUCCCAAAUAAUAACGGAGGCUUACAAAGGUUGGCUCAGAACGGUUGGAAAUCGUUCGUAGAGUAUAAAGGUAUAAGCCAGCUUAACUGCAAGACAUACAAGUCAAGCAGAGACGAAAGUCGGUCUUAGUGAUCCGGUGGUUCUGUGUGGAAGGGCCAUCGCUCAAAGGAUAAAAGGUACCCCGGGGAUAACAGGCUGAUCUCCCCCAAGAGCUCACAUCGACGGGGAGGUUUGGCACCUCGAUGUCGGCUCAUCGCAUCCUGGGGCUGGAGCAGGUCCCAAGGGUAUGGCUGUUCGCCAUUUAAAGCGGUACGCGAGCUGGGUUCAGAACGUCGUGAGACAGUUCGGUCCCUAUCUGCCGUGGGCGUAAGAAGAUUGAAGAGAUUUGACCCUAGUACGAGAGGACCGGGUUGAACAAACCACUGGUGUAGCUGUUGUUCUGCCAAGAGCAUCGCAGCGUAGCUAAGUUUGGAAAGGAUAAACGCUGAAAGCAUCUAAGCGUGAAGCCAACUCUAAGAUGAAUCUUCUCUAAGCUCUCUAGAAGACUACUAGUUUGAUAGGCUGGGUGUGUAAUGGAUGAAAGUCCUUUAGCUGACCAGUACUAAUAGAGCGUUUGGCUUAUCUUUAAUAAAGCAU
rnacentral:rRNA from 1 species